AUUGAACGCUGGCGGCAGGCCUAACACAUGCAAGUCGAACGAGUGGCGGACGGGUGAGUAAUGUCUGGGACACGGCCUGAUGGAGGGGGAUAACUACUGGAAACGGUAGCUAAUACCGCAUACCAUCAGAUGUGCCCAGAUGGGAUUAGCUAGUGGGUGGGGUAACGGCUCACAUAGUCGAAGAUCCCUAGCUGGUCGGAGAGGAUGACCAGCCACACUGGAACUGAGACACUGUCCAGACUCCUACGGGAGGCAGCAGUGGGGAAUAUUGCACAAUGGGCGCAAGCCUGAUGCAGCCAUGCCGCGUGUAUGAAGAAGGCCUUCGGGUUGUAAAGUCCUUUCAGCGGGGAGGCGUUACCCGCAGAAGAAGCACCGGCUAACUCCGUGCCAGCAGCCGCGGUAAUUC
rnacentral:rRNA from 1 species